AUCAGAUUAGAGCUUGAUUAAUAAAGCGUUUCAUUUACACUGAGAAGAUAACUGUGCAAUUCAUGUUUAAUUUGAU
rnacentral:tRNA from 1 species